AACGCACAUUGCGCCUUCUGGUAUUCCGGAAGGCAUGCUUGUUUGAGUAUCAGUAACAACCUCAGCCAAAACUCCCUCUCUCGCUUCUUGGCGGGCAGAAAGCAAAGGCUGGAUUUGAGCAAAAAGUCCCUUGGGAUCAAUUCGACGACCUUCGGGGAGCAAAUUGAGCUGUGGGGGAUGCUUGAAAUACAGGUUCGGGCUGACCAAAAUGUCCUGGGCUACAAGCUUUUCAUACUUGAUCCCGUUAAACGGAUCAUUUCCAUUGCUGCAGCCAACACAAACAGGAUCAAAAGGUGUCCAGUAAUCCGACUGAUGCAGGAAAGUUGGAACCAACAGAGCAAUCUGGUGGUUCUUUCUAACUCGAUCUCAAAUCAAGUAAGACUACCCGCUGAACUUAA
rnacentral:misc_RNA from 1 species